UAUAGGAUAUCUAGAAAUAAUUUGUUACAAAAAGUGAUACUUGUCAUUUCAUCGAUCUGAUUUGUUACAAAAUAUCCUUAUUGUUCAAGGAUAGAAAAAAGUUUGAUACUUAUUAAGAUGCUUAAAUAGAUGUAUAAAGUAAUUUGGAUUAAUACUCUAUUAAAUAUAUUGAUAGAAAAAGUUCAAUAAUUAGAUUAUAAAAAAGUGUUCAACUCUUAAAUUAAAGGAUAAUAUGGAAACUCCACUUAAGUUCAAUAGCUUACAUUUCACCUUCAAUUGUACGAACAACGAUAGAAUAAACAUGUAAUUGCUUCAAUGUUUGUGUAGCCUCUAAAUUGUACAAGUGUUCAUUGACAAACCCUAGUUCUGGGGUACCACUUAUGAACAUGAUAGGUACAUAGAAGUGAAAGGUAACGAAUCACAUAAAACAUUGGGCAAUUCAUUAAGUGAAAAGUUAACAAAAAGAUUGAUAACGCCAUAAAAAAAAAAAGCCAUGGGAAGCUACAUUGGAAGUCAUACAAAAUAUAACAUGACAUGAGUAUGGUAUCUAUGGGACUUCUAAUUCACAAAUGAGACAAGGCCUUUACUAUACCCAAAAACAUACAAAAAUAUCACUUCAUAAGCAAAAGUGUCUCAACGAUAAAUAACCCUCACCAAAAGCCAAUGAAAUGAGUGGAGUGCCUUGUGAGAAUUAGUGCCACCCUGAGAGUCCAUACGUGUAUCACAAAAAGAUGCAGUACCUUGACAAAAGAGAAGUGAUUACAUGUGAAAUAGUACUCACAUGAUGAAAAGAAGCGGUUUUUCGCACAACUUGCUCAUAGUGCAGGUCCCACUUGUAUAUCGUAUUUGGCCGAGCUGAACCCAAAUAUAAGAGAAUGUAAGUUGUACUAGCACCAACUUAUUGCUAUACUAAAGUACAAACCAACAAACAAAUUUCUUGUCAUGUAUAUUUACAAUGGCAGCAAGAAUAUAUGUGUUGUACCAUUAACUUUUACUGUUCUUUACCUCCUUAAAGUGCUUCUUUAGGAGUACUAGAGGUAUUUCCGUCAUGAUACUUAGAAUGCGGUGGAUAUGAGUUGCUGCAAAAGGAGGGAUUUAUCACAUAUAUAAGCAUCUAAGCUAAUUAAAGGAUGAAAACAUGAUUUUUCUGACUAUUAUUUUCUUUUGUGUAAUUGUUGACAUUUUGUUUCCUCAUUCUUCAUUUUGUUCAUAUGGUAAUGUUGAUUUUGAAUUUCUUGUCUUUUCUUAUGAACUUGCAGGAAAAAAUUUGUGGUGAUAUAGGUUCUCAAGAAGCAAUUAUUACCUGCUAUAAGUGUAAAAAUGUUGACGUGCACCAGUAAGUUCUCUCUCGAUUUUUAGCAUGAAAAGGCAGUCAGGCGAGCUGAUUGUGAACCUCAAACAUUGUCCCAAUCCCAGAUCCAUUCUUUUUUUAUUGACUUGUCAUUUCUAAGGGAGAAGUUGUUCUUUUCACACAAGGGGGGUGCUCCUCUUGAAGCAAAUUGCGAGUUCGAUUAUAAGCUUUUGCUCCCCUUUUUUAAACUUAUAUAGGGAUGAAAAGUGGAAAAGAACUAAAAGCCUAAAUGGAAGUGAUAUUACCUAGUAGGGAGUGUAAGGAGCUAUUCGAGUUGUUUAAUCUUUCUAGCGUUCGGAUCCUUAUAGUAUUGGGUUCCACCUAAAGGAUACAUCAAUUCUUGCAUUAGAAUGUUGUGGCAUUUAAUUCUAUUAAGUUAAAUAGGUUCUCUUCUUAUUUUUAAAAAUUAUGCUUUUCUCUUCCUUUCAGAUAUUGUGUGUCGGGCUACUAUGUUGAUGCACCAGUGUAUUGGUGCUGCGAAAAAUGUGAUAAUGACAAAUGGAUAAUAUCUGUGUCACAUGGACUAGAAAAUGUGCAAUCCGAGGGAUCAUCUGCAAAGCUUUGCCCGAGUAGUGUGCAUUCAAAUGAGUUUCCUCGUGGGAGUAGGAAUCGUAUUAACUGGGAAAAGGAGGUAAAGACAGGGAAAGCCAGAUAUCUGCCUGUUAAAGACGGACAUGGUUUGCAAUCAGGCAUGGAGAAAUAUGAAUCACCACUGGGAACUAGUUUGCCCUCAAGAGUGGUGUCAACCGAAUCCAUGGCGAUCGUGACUCAAGAUCAUUUUAGCAAUCCUAGAGUUCAAAUUUCAAAUUCUUUUCCUAAGAAGAGCGCAAUGCAAUUAGUUGGAGGUUGAGUGUUCACCAAUAUAUUUUGAAUUCAUUAAUUGGUUUAAUUUGUCCUCUUUUUAUACCUCUAGUCUUUAGAGAUUUCAUUUCCUAUCAUUUACUUUUGUACUUUCAUCCAAUUGAUGUAGCUUAUUUUUUAGGUGCGGCUGGUUCUACUAUUAUGAAGCAAAGGAGUCCAAAUUCAUCUACAACACACCCUUAUGAUCCUGCUUUAGUUCCUUCCUGGAAGGGUAAUUUUGACAUCUUAGGUGAGCUGGAACUUGCACCUGGUUAUAUCCAGGCUCAUUCUCCUUGCAGGGUUCGACGUAAGGUUUAUGAGUUCUCAGGGCGAUUGCCUGAUACUCUUAAACUUGAAUUAGUUCCCCGUGGGGAUAUCUGGGCAAGUCUGUUUAACGGUUAUAUUCCGGAUAAAGAAGACAUAGGACUCUAUUUCUUCGCAAGUGAAAGAGAAAGGUCAGCUUCUAUAUACCCUAUAUAUCUACCAAGUAAAAGGGAUCAGGGGUGCAAAGUAGAAGAGCGCCCUUGCCCAAGAUUAUUUUUACUAGAUAUUGACUUGAAUUUCCCAUUAUUUGUAGGUCUGACAGAUAUAUCGCCCUGGUGGAGUUCAUGCAUAGCAAGGAUUUGGUGUUGAGAACUCUUAUCAAUGAUGUUGAGUUGAUUAUACUGACAUCCACAGCCCUAUGCAGCGAUUCUCAAAGUUGGAACAGUGAGCACUUCUUGUGGGGAUUAUUUUACCGCAUGGGACAAGACACGGAUGGAUGUGCUGAAGGAGGCAGCAACAAAGUGGUUGACAUGGAGAUAGACAUGAUAGCUGGAGAAGAUGUAGGAACGCUGGACAUUGUGCUCCACUCAUGGUCGUAGAUCUGUUCACAACGAGUUUUCUUCAUUCAGUCCGACUACUUAAUUCUGUCUAUCUUGAUGCUUGCAUCGUCUAUCUGACUCGUAUCUUUUGGUUCUAUCAUCCGACUCUUGUGUCAUACUAGCUAUUUGUCACAAAUACUAAUCAACAAUUAGAUUUAUGGUCAAUAUGCGAGUAAUGAGUUCUUUAAUCGUUGAUCGCUUGGAAUCCUAUUACAUCUAUGGUCAGUAUAUGAAUUUAAAAUGGAACAAGUUGCUUAAAACAACUCAGUUGGUGCUGCACAGAAAGAUACUUUUCCUUGUGAUAUGCUCUGCAUUCUGAAAUGUUUGAAGACACUUCUGCCGCUCAUUUUUCUCUCUUCUCAUAAAUGUAUUUGAGUAUUAUUUUUAAAAUUAAGUGGAUCAACAAGAGUAAGAAAGAAAUUAUAUCACCUUUAAAUACUUAUCGUAUAAGAAAAUGUGACAUUCUUUUUUAGACUAACCAAAAAAGAAUGGUACCACGUAAAAUGGGACAGAGGGAGUAUUACGUAUACAGAGUUACAUAUGAUUAUUUUUUUUGGGUUCAUGAUGCCCUGUUCGAAAUCCAUGAUGAGUAUAGUGGGUUCAGAAUUGGUUUUACAGCUGCUGGACCUGUGAGAGCACAUGUUGAUAAAGAUAACACCAAUAACUUUGGGUAGUCCUGUUCAAGAAAUGAAUAGCAAUCAUAAUAGAUCACAAACAUUUUGAAUUGCAAAUAAUUAUUUCUUGGUUAGUUUGAGGGAUAUUCUUGAGCCGAAAAACUAAAUUAUAUUUUUAGAUUAAAAAGAUGGAUGAAAGAUAUUUAUAAACCAUUUUUCAUAAGAUAGGACAUUUUUGCUCAUGUUCCGUUAACUUCAUGAUAAAUGAAUGGUCUACGAACAUUAGUUUGAAUAAAUGGUAAACCUGAUGAUUGUGCCCAUAUGUUUCUUAGAAUCGCAUUUCAAUGAGCCAUCAAAUACUUAAAAAUAUGAAAGAAAAAAAAUCACAUAAUCAAACUAGUUUAUUCAUCUCAUUUCCUGACAAAUCACUAAAAAGAAGUAAAAUGAUUGGUUCAAA